AAGACCACAGUUUCCUGUCGCGUGGAUGUGUUUCCUCUCUGGCCGUUGCCAUCCGCUCAAAUCUACAGGCAUCCCGCAUGUUCCCGGGCUCGUCUCCCCAAUACAGGGCACCAAGGCUGUAGACUGCGCAGACCUCCUGGAGACAGAUGGAAGUUCCUUGGGUCGACAGAUUACAGCUUCUGGAGCCCCCGACUCCCUUCAACUCCGUGAUGGACACCCACUGUCCAGGGAGAGGAUGCCUGGAAAUAACAGCCGGGAUCUACAGUGGCCAUAAGAGUUGUCUCUGUCUUGCUACAUAGACAAACUGGUGUUCCUGACCACUUGGGAAGGGUUUUUCUCUCCACUCUGUGACAACAGGCAAGAGUGAGGGUCCAACAAUACAGAGGAAGUGACGUGUCGCUGCUACUCUUCCAUGCCCAGUGCCAGGAGCGACGGUACACUCCAGAGUGCUGUGCCCUGAUGGGCCUUUGAGCGGCCAGUGCAGUGGAUCAUCAGCCCUGUCUCCCAAGAGCUCCAGUCCCUUCUCCGGGGAGGAAGUGGGUCCACUGGCAGCUCAGGAGGCCAUAGCAGCCUUACAGAAGUGUGGGUGGCAGCUUUCUGGAAGCUGCACAAGUCAGGGCUGGGUCUUCGCAACUUGGUGUUCUGUUUCUAGAAACUUGGGGUAUUUGCAUAUGCUAGGUCAGCACAGAUUUCCAAAGGAUCCCUAGGAUUGUCACGUGUGCUCAACAGUCCUCGGCUUUCCAGAAGAUGCUGGAACAGGGCCCUUGAAGAUGUUUGUGGACACCAGAGGGCCAAAGAAGACAAAGUGAAACUGGAGACACCGCCCCCCUUGGCAUCAUGAAACUGCCGAUUUUACUGGCUCAUGCAUGGGAGACACCAGCAUACAAAGUCUUGACACCAACACCUCAGAGGGCUGUGUUCUGUCCCCGUGACCAUCAGCCAGUGCCUGGAAAGACUAGUGACAAGAACUUGUUGCCAACUUCCUCUUACCUCCCUAACAGUUGUGCAUGCAAUAAACCCCAUAGGUUAAUUCAGUCUGCCUUUUAAA
rnacentral:lncRNA from 1 species